rnacentral:rRNA from 2 species
CGGGACACGGGAUACAGGUGGUGCAUGGUUGUCGUCAGCUCGUGUCGUGAGAUGUUGGGUUAAGUCCCGCAACGAGCGCAACCCCUAUUGUUAGUUGCCAUCAUUAAGUUGGGCACUCUAACGAGACUGCCGGUGAUAAACCGGAGGAAGGUGGGGAUGACGUCAAAUCAUCAUGCCCCUUAUGACCUGGGCUACACACGUGCUACAAUGGAUGGUACAACGAGUCGCGAGACAGUGAUGUUUAGCUAAUCUCUUAAAACCAUUCUCAGUUCGGAUUGUAGGCUGCAACUCGCCUACAUGAAGUCGGAAUCGCUAGUAAUCGCGGAUCAGCACGCCGCGGUGAAUACGUUCCCGGGCCUUGUACACACCGCCCGUCACACCACGGGAGUUGGGAGUACCCGAAGUAGGUUGCCUAA